AGUUUAAUAUUAAUUGAAUACUGUGGCUUCCUUAGCCAUUAUUGAAGUGCAUUAGGGAACAGCCCUAAAGCUGUAGCCUGUGUAUUAGUCUGUUCUCAUGCAGCUAAUAAAGACAUACCUAAGACUGGGUAAAUUUUAAAGGAAAGAGGUUUAUUUAACUCACAGUUCAGCAUGGCUGGGGAGGCCUCAGCGAUCAUGGCGGAAGGGGAAGCAAACACAUCCUUCUUAACAUGGCAGCAGGAAGAAUGAGCAAAAGGGAACAAAACAUUACCCUUUCAUUUGUACUGCCUCCUUCCACACGAGUGCCCCUUUGGCCAAAGAAGAUUAUUACCAGAUAUUAGGAGUGCCUCGAAAUGCCAGCCAGAAAGAGAUCAAGAAAGCCUAUUAUCAGCUUGCCAAGAAGUAUCACCCUGACACAAAUAAGGAUGAUCCCAAAGCCAAGGAGAAGUUCUCCCAGCUGGCAGAAGCCUAUGAGGUUUUGAGUGAUGAGGUGAAGAGGAAGCAGUACGAUGCCUACGGCUCUGCAGGCUUCGAUCCUGGGGCCAGCGGCUCCCAGCAUAGCUACUGGAAGGGAGGCC
rnacentral:sRNA from 1 species